rnacentral:rRNA from 1 species
AGCAGCCGCGGUAAUUCCAGCUCCAAUAGCGUAUAUUAAAGUUGUUGCAGUUAAAAAGCUCGUAGUUGAAUUUCGGGAUCAAUUAAUCGGUCGUGCCUCUGGUACGCACUGGUUUUAUUGGUUUCUCCCUUCUGACGAACCAGGAUGUCAUUAAUUUGGUGUCUUGGAGAAUCAGGACUGUUACUUUGAAAAAUUAGAGUGUUUAAAGCAGGCUUCUAGGCAUGAAUACAUUAGCAUGGAAUAAUGAAAUAGGACGUUUGAUCCUAUUUUGUUGGUUUCUAGGAUCGACGUAAUGAUUAAUAGGGAUAGUUGGGGGCAUUAGUAUUCAAUUGUCAGAGGUGAAAUUCUUGGAUUUAUUGAAGACUAACUAUUGCGAAAGCAUUUGCCAAGGAUGUUUUCAUUAAUCAAGAACGAAAGUUAGGGGAUCGAAGACGAUCAGAUACCGUCGUAGUCUUAACCAUAAACUAUGCCGACUAGGGAUCGGAUGAUGUUUAAAUUUUUUUAAUGUACUCAUUCGGUC